AAGCUCCUGAAGGAACGUUGAAGACGACGACGUUGAUAGGUCGGGUGUGUAAGCGCAGCGAUGCGUUGAGCUAACCGAUACUAAUGAACCGUGAGGCUUAACCUUACAACGCCGAAGGUGUUU
rnacentral:rRNA from 1 species